CCUACGGGAGGCUGCAGUGGGGAAUAUUGGACAAUGGGGGGAACCCUGAUCCAGCCAUGCCGCGUGUGUGAAGAAGGCCCUCGGGUUGUAAAGCACUUUCAGUGAGGAAGAACGCCUGGUGGUUAAUACCCAUCAGGAAAGACAUCACUCACAGAAGAAGCACCGGCUAACUCCGUGCCAGCAGCCGCGGUAAUACGGAGGGUGCGAGCGUUAAUCGGAAUUACUGGGCGUAAAGCGCGCGUAGGUGGCUUGAUAAGCCGGUUGUGAAAGCCCCGGGCUCAACCUGGGAACGGCAUCCGGAACUGUCAAGCUAGAGGGCAGGAGAGGAAGGUAGAAUUCCCGGUGGAGCGGUGAAAUGCGUAGAGAUCGGGAGGAAUACCAGUGGCGAAGGCGGCCUUCUGGACUGACACUGACACUGAGGUGCGAAAGCGUGGGUAGCAAACAGGAUUAGAUACCCUUGUAGUC
rnacentral:rRNA from 1 species